CCUACGGGCGGCAGCAGUGAGGAAUAUUGGUCAAUGGGCGCUAGCCUGAACCAGCCAAGUAGCGUGAAGGAUGACUGCCCUACGGGUUGUAAACUUCUUUUAUAAGGGAAUAAAGUGAAGCACGUAUACCUUUUUGUAUGUACUUUAUGAAUAAGGAUCGGCUAACUCCGUGCCAGCAGCCGCGGUAAUACGGAGGAUCCGAGCGUUAUCCGGAUUUAUUGGGUUUAAAGGGAGCGUAGAUGGGUUGUUAAGUCAGUUGUGAAAGUUUGCGGCUCAACCGUAAAAUUGAAAUUGAUACUGGCAGCCUUGAGUACAGUGGAGGUAGGCGGAAUCGGGGGGGUACGGGUGAAAGGCUGAG
rnacentral:rRNA from 1 species